rnacentral:lncRNA from 10 species
UUACUAGGCUGUUACCUCAAUGAGGACAGACUGUGUCAUCCUGUGUCCCUACUGCCCAGCACUGUGCCUGGAACAUAACGUACAGUGGAGUUUCCUAGAGGACACAUCACAUGGCACGAUGUCAUUGCUCUAAUGAUGAAUGAAAUGUAUGAAGCAGAAACAAGCAUCCACCUGCUGUCUACCAGGACCUCAAGAGAUUUGCGACAAGGUUAAAACAAUGCCGUCCUCCUUCUAAUAUGUUUUUGUUUUGGAAAAUACAGUUAUUUCUCACAAAAUUGUGUGAUUUAUGUUAACCUGCAAUGGGUUUAUUAUUAUUGCUUUUGAAUGAUUUAAUGCAGAAAUAUUUUU